rnacentral:rRNA from 1 species
CGUAAACGAUGAUAACUAGCUGUCCGGGGACCUGGUCUUUGGGUGGCGCAGCUAACGCAUUAAGUUAUCCGCCUGGGGAGUACGGCCGCAAGGUUAAAACUCAAAGGAAUUGACGGGGGCCUGCACAAGCGGUGGAGCAUGUGGUUUAAUUCGAAACAACGCGCAGAACCUUACCAGCGUUUGACAUGUCCGGACGAUUUCCAGAGAUGGAUUUCUUCCCUUCGGGGACUGGAACACAGGUGCUGCAUGGCUGUCGUCAGCUCGUGUCGUGAGAUGUUGGGUUAAGUCCCGCAACGAGCGCAACCCUCGCCUUUAGUUACCAUCAUUUAGUUGGGUACUCUAAAGGAACCGCCGGUGAUAAGCCGGAGGAAGGUGGGGAUGACGUCAAGUCCUCAUGGCCCCUUACGCGCUGGGCUACACAACGUGCUACAAUGGCGACUACAAGUGGGCUGCAAUCCCGCGAGGGUGAGCUAAUCUCCAAANAGUCGUCUCAAGUUCGGAUUGUUCUCUGCAGGCUCGAGAGC